rnacentral:rRNA from 1 species
AGAGUUUGAUCAUGGCUCAGAUUGAACGCUGGCGGCAUGCUUAAUACAUGCAAGUCGAACGGUAACAGGUUCUUCGGAAUGCUGACGAGUGGCGGACGGGUGAGUAAUGCAUAGGAAUCUGCCCAUGUAGUGGGGGAUAACUUGGGGAAACUCAAGCUAAUACCGCAUAUUUCCGAAAGCAGGGGAUCUUCGGACCUUGCGCUAUUGGAGAAGCCUGCGUCGGAUUAGCUAGUUGGUGGGGUAAAGGCCCACCAAGGCGACGAUCCGUAGCUGGUCUGAGAGGAUGAUCAGCCACACUGGGACUGAGACACGGCCCAGACUCCUACGGGAGGCAGCAGUGGGGAAUAUUGGACAAUGGGGGCAACCCUGAUCCAGCCAUGCCGCGUGUGUGAAGAAGGCCUUAGGGUUGUAAAGCACUUUCAGUAGGGAGGAAAAGUUAGUCGUUAAUAACGGCUAGCCGUGACGUUACCUACAGAAGAAGCACCGGCAAACUCCGUGCCAGCAGUUGCGGUAAUACGGAGGGUGCGAGCGUUAAUCGGAAUUACUGGGCGUAAAGCGCGCGUAGGCGGCCUGAUAAGUUGGAUGUGAAAGCCCUGGGCUCAACCUAGGAACUGCAUUCAAAACUGUCAGGCUAGAGUAUGGUAGAGGAUAGUGGAAUUUCCGGUGUAGCGGUGAAAUGCGUAGAGAUCGGAAGGAACAUCAGUGGCGAAGGCGGCUAUCUGGACCAAUACUGACGCUGAGGUGCGAAAGCGUGGGGAGCAAACAGGGAUUAGAUACCCUGGUAGUCCACGCCGUAAACGAUGUCAACUAGCCGUUGGGGGGCUUGUCCCCUUAGUGGCGCAGCUAACGCGAUAAGUUGACCGCCUGGGAGUACGGCCGCAAGGUUAAAACUCAAAUGAAUUGACGGGGGCCCGCACAAGCGGUGGAGCAUGUGGUUUAAUUCGAUGCAACGCGAAGAACCUUACCAGGUCUUGACAUCCCGAGAACUUACUAGAGAUAGUUUGGUGCCUUCGGGAACUGUGAGACAGGUGCUGCAUGGCUGUCGUCAGCUCGUGUUGUGAAAUGUUGGGUUAAGUCCCGUAACGAGCGCAACCCUUAUCCUUAUUUGCCAGCACUUCGGUUGGGUACUUUAAGGAGACUGCCGGUGACAAACCGGAGGAAGGCGGGGACGACGUCAAGUCAUCAUGGCCCUUACGAGUAGGGCUACACACGUGCUACAAUGGCUGGUACAAACGGUUGCAAUCCUGCGAGGGGGAGCUAAUCUGAGAAAGCCAGUCGUAGUCCGGAUCGGAGUCUGCAACUCGACUCCGUGAAGUCGGAAUCGCUAGUAAUCGUGAAUCAGAAUGUCACGGUGAAUACGUUCCCGGGCCUUGUACACACCGCCCGUCACACCACGGAAGUUGAUUGCACCAGAAGUGGGUAGCUUAAAAUGGGGCGCUCACCACGGUGUGGUUGAUGACUGGGGUGAAGUCGUAACAAGGUAGCCGUA